rnacentral:rRNA from 1 species
GACGGAAGGUGCAAGCGUUGCUCGGAAUCACUGGGCGUAAAGGGUGCGUAGGCGGCUUGGUAAGUUGGGUGUGAAAGCCCCGGGCUCAGCCCGGGAAGGGCACUCGAAACUGCCGAGCUGGAGUGCCGGAGGGGAGAGUGGAAUUCCUGGUGUAGCGGUGAAAUGCGCAGAUAUCGGGAGGAACACCGGUGGCGAAGGCGGCAUCCUGGACCGGCAUUGACGCUGAGGAGCGAAAGUGUGGGGAGCGAACAGG